UACGUAGGGUGCGAGCGUUACUCGGAAUUACUGGGCGUAAAGUGUGCGCAGGCGGCGUCGCAAGUCGAGUGUGAAAGCCCCGGGCUUAACUUGGGAAUUGCGCUCGAAACUACGAUGCUGGAGUAUGGCAGAGGAAGGUGGAAUUCCACGUGUAGCGGUGAAAUGCGUAGAGAUGUGGAGGAACACCGAUGGCGAAGGCAGCCUUCUGGGCCAAUACUGACGCUCAUGCACGAAAGCGUGGGGAGCAAACAGG
rnacentral:rRNA from 1 species